GUCACUGGGGAGCUGGUGGGCCUUGAAGUGGGCAAAGAAUCAAGUACGUGGUGCAGUAGAAGCUCAGGAAGGAACAAGGCACCACUGGAGGCUCUUGAGGGGAGAGCAAUGUCCCUGCGACUGAACGGAACUGAGCUGAAUGUCCCUGGAUGGCUUCUCUGACAGAGCGGGUACCUCCCACUCACCCCAGGAUGAUUCUUGCUCCUUUGCUUGGCUGCUGAGGUUGAAGGAAAUUCAGUGGUCAUGUCUGUGGCUCUCCAGCUGUUUCACUUUUUACUAUGGAUGCUAAAUAACCCAUGUUGAACGUUUCACCUGGUCGUGUCUUGAUGAGCAAGUGCACUGCUGGAUCUCAUAGGCACGUCAUACGUGGGCACAUUUUCCUGGAUGUCAUCUGCCUUGCAGAACACGCCCCUCUUCACUGUCGCCUGCACUCCCCUGACAGCUCAGCGCAUUUUUCUGGCAAUAGCGAGACCACCAAGCACCAGCAGGCUGACCAUGAAUACUGAGGAAGUACCUGCAAGAUGCCGGAGUUUGUAUUUCAAGAUGUGUUAUCUGGGGAAUAUCAGUAGAACACACAUCUGAACGUGAUCCCCAUCAAAGGGACCGCAUCCUAGGAAGCAGAAGAGAGAAAUGGUAUUUGGGCUUUUCUGGUGCCAGUCUAAG
ensembl:lncRNA